UGACCCUGCAGGAGGGCACAAGCACUGGACCCUGGCCUGGAGAAGGAAUAAAGCUGCUCUCUUGUCUGCAAACCUGGAGUACCUUCUCAGCGUGCAGGUAUGGCUAUUCUGACCCUUGGGCUCCGUUCUAGUUAGACUAAAUGAGAACAUUUAUUAUACGUGAAAAUUGUUUGCCGAGGGAGUAGGAGAGGCCAAAAGAAAACAUUAUUAAUCCACUAAACAUUACCGUACUGCAGCCAAGUUUGUAACAAACACAACAGUAGGGAUCAUUGUUUGGUAUAAAUUGCCUUGUAAUCAUUUCCACAAGCUGAGGCUCAGUCCCAGCACGCCUGACACGCUUGCGGGGUGCAGGAAAUGCAGAUACAGUCUCCUGAAAUACAUGCCUGCCAUUUGCAUCUCCUGCCCUCACCACUGCUACUGCCACCCCAGAGCAAGGGCAGGACUGCUCAAAAAGCCGUGAUGAUUUUUCUGUAAACCCCUGUAUUCCUGAGGAUGCUUCUCUAACACUGGUAACUGUGGGUCAGUAGGGCAGUGGUUUGCUGUGUUGGAAAGUGCAAUUUUACACAGACUUAAUGCAAGAGGUCAACGGAUUUGACAUUGAAGAAAAGCUAAACAUAAAAAAAAAAAGUGAAGGCUUAAAUAUUUAAACUGUGUGAGGUUUAAUUCCAGCUGGGCAAUUACAAUAAACUGGAACACAGGCAGAGGCAUUGCAGCCUGAGCCCACUUCACAGAGCAGCCUUUGUGAUGGAAUUGCUUCUGGUGUCUCCACAAUGACUGAACAUACCCUGCUCUCUCAUUACGGGAGUGAUGAACAAUGUAGCUGCCCGCCAGCAAGUCAAAAGAAGCUUUGGGAAAAAUUUCUCUGAGUUUUCCCUUCUCCAAGGCAUGCUAACUUAGCCUGGUGCUUGGACUUGUCACAGGGGUCCGCAGGCAUCCUUCUGAACCAGAGCAAAGUCUGCUUCAAAGUGUCCAUGAUGGCACUUUAAAGUACAGCAGUCCUGCACAAAUUAGGUUUUGAUCAUUUGAUCAUCAGGAGGUUUUGAUCAUUUCACUGUCAGUAACACCCAAUAUUCCAGCUGUCCUUACAAACCACACACAGUGCUCCCCUCUCAGCACAUUUUGUGCAGUUUUCUGCUCUCAAAAAAACCCCCCCAAACCCGGGAAGUUUCCAGUAAACACAUCUAAUGUAAGCGCCUGCGUCAAACAGGGCUUCCUCAGCUUCCCUGCAGCAUGAAUGGAGAAGGUUAUUUUUACAAAGACAUAUGGGCCUCUCAUCCCUCUUUUGUUUAAAUGUACACAGUCCUGGCUUCUGACAGUAGUGAAAUGCUCAAUAACAUCAUUGUGAGAAACGUUUUUAAUGUAUCAAACCAUCCUUGGCAUUAUUAGCAUAGUCACAUAAUUAUCCAUGGAGAAACUUACACCCAUAUGUUAACGCCCAUAAAGUAUUGUGUGAAUCUCUUUUAUACCUUUAUUUUCAGUUUCUGGGAAAGAUACCUCACUGGGUACUUAAUAUAGCAAUUGCUUCAGAAGGUGUAAGCUGCCUAUGCCUGCGGUGAAAUGGUCAGGAGGCAGAGUAGUGCUGGCAGCGUCAUCUGAAAGCUCAGUAAGCCACAGUCUAACUGUGCUCAGAAUGUGAUGCAAGAAUAUGAUGCACCUCUUUAAUUUCACAAGAGAUUUCUUAAAAAGACAGGAAUUUAAAAACGAGAACGAACAGAAACUGAUGGUAGGCUAAGUGUGAAAAAACACCUUGUAGGGAACAAAUUCUUCAUAGUACAAGGCAGAGAGCCUGAUCUGAAAUUCCAAGCUGGGAUAGCAAUAUCAGUGUUUUCUAGAUAUCCUGAUACCCUGAGUAUCUUAGCCGUAUCUGACACUUUUGUAUUUAGACUGGAUAUACCAGAUUAAAGAUCUAAUCUGCUGAAUUUUCUCAUAAUCCUUACAAAUUUGGCAUGAAGGCAGUAAAAGAAGUUGUGUGUGAACCCAGAAACCGGUUGUAGCACUUUCAGAUCUUGGCCUCAGACAGCAUAAUCUAACUUUUUAAUGCAGACCCAUUGUAUGCUUAUCUUUAGGGUUUCUAAAUUAUUUAUCCCAGUAUUACAAAUAUGCUAUUCUAUGCAUAUGUGAUAUGUUCAUUUUACUAAAACUGUUAAAUACAAAACAUUAGGGCAUGAGAAAUAUAUCUCACUUUUUAUAAAUAGCUGUGUUACACUUUUACUCAAGUGAUUUUAGUAAAUCCUUUUGAUUUUAUUUUUUUCAUUUGCCUUUGCUUGACAUUUCUUCCCAAGGUGUCUGGUGACUAUUCUGAUUCUUCUGUAAGAGAGAUAAAAGUAAGGAACAUUCUUCCCCUCCUUUGAUCACUUUGCAGCUUGGGAACUGCAAACCCAUACUCAAAUAUUCAGAGCUUACAGGAGCAGAGCAUAAUAUUUAAUGUUGCAUGCUAGAGUAAAGGCAAUUGCUACAAAUGGUUCACUGUAGUACAGUAGUUCUAGCAUUGCCUAAUUUAUUAAUCAUAGAAAUGUUGCAUGCAAAUUAGCCACAGAGUUGUGCAUCAUAAUACAGUAAUCCAAAAAUCUGUCUUCACAUGUAUUAAUGCUCGUAAAUUAUGGAUAUCACACUACAGCAUUACACAGUUUCCCCAUUACAUUCCAAAACUUGCCGAAAGCUUACUAAAAGCCAUGUUACCGAGUGUUUUCUUUUUGUUCCUUACUUCUGGCUUUCUAAAGUGUGAGAGUAUUUAGCUGCAGGGCAUUUUUGUGUCUUCCUUUUCCCAGGGUUCCUUUUUGGGCUAACAUUCCGCCAGCCAAACAUCAAGAUUUCUCUUGCUAUAGUGCAGUUUAAAAACAUAUUUUGCUCUGGUAUGAGUGUGGUCAGCACCACUGUCCUCCCCUGCUCUGAAAGCUGCUCCAUUUCACGUCCUGACCUUGUAAAUCCUAGGCACUCUCCAAGGGAAAUCUGCAUCUUUUCCUCUCUUGCUUUCUUAAUGCUCCAAAUAUUUCUUUCAGGAAAGUCAAGGUGAGAAUAAAGGAACUGACAAUGUUGCAUGGAGUAUUUUGCAAAAAAAGACCAUGAAAGAAUUUCUGCACAGCAAAUAGGGAUAAUCUGUGCAGUUGUAUCCCCAGCCACUCACCAACUUGCCCUCCUCUUACUGUCAAAAGAUGAGAAGAAACAGAGAAAUGGGAGCAAAGAGAGUUUGCAGGAAAAAGGGAGAAGAAGGAAUAAGACAACUGAAGAUACAGUCUCCACAGGCUACACCGCGGAGAUAAAAAUGAAAGGCAUAAACUGAAGUGACUUAGCCAAGCAGUACAAAAACACAAACCAAACCAACACCCGAGAGGAAGUUGCUGCAUCUCUGUCACCAAACUACAAGAGGUGAGGCAAAAACUUUAAUAAAGGAAUAGGUCUGCUGCAACAAAGGAAAUAACAGCAAAAACAGAGACAAGGACACAUCCUAACCCCACUAAUAUCAGCAGGAAUUUGCCUUCAUCUUCAGUGGGAACAGAACUUCAAAGACAUGGGAAUCACCUAUAAAACCUGAAGGAUUUUCUAAGCUUGAGAGACCAGUUUUCAAAAGCUCUUUAGCAAAGUUAUUAUGUUGCAAGCAUUACUCCGACAGAAGAAACUGUAAAAGGAUGAUCAGAAAUAGUCAGGAUGUAUUUAAAACUCUUCUGGUUCAAUAAGAAAGCAGAGCUUGAAGCCUAACUCUCUCCUGCCAAAGGUAACCAUGCCAUACCUUCUCUUUCAUAAAUAAUCCCACACAAAUUUAGGAAAUGAAGUAUUUUCCCAAACAGGAGAAAAAUAUGAUCAAUUUGGAAAUAUAGACAAAUAUUUUAGCUAAUCAAUUUAGCUAAUUCUUCCCUGUCAAUUUGUACAGUUACUUUUACUGAAAUGGUGCUUUUGAUUCUGUCCUCUGUCUCCUACUACAGGGAACAAAGAUUGUCUUCAGCAUCACUCUGUGUUGGGUAAAGCACCAAACUGGUUGAACCAUGCAGACCAAGCAAAAGAGAUCCUGUGAUAAAAGGUCUAACUUAAGAGCAGAUUUCACUAUGAGUUUAAUUUCUUUGUUCAGUCAAACCCUGUGCACCAGACAGGAUUGGCUCUGACAAGCUUCUACAGAAAAAUGAUCCCAAAGAGACUGAAAUCUAGGCCACAGCUACGAAUAAUUCUUCGGAAGCUCUCUGGAUUUCCUGGAGGGCAAGGUGUGGCUCUGUGUGUGGGAGGUAAACGCUAGUGUUCUUCUGUUAGUAGUAAUUAGGUGCAGCUUGAGUUUCAUUAAUAAGAGCUACAUAUGCAUGCUGGAAAAAAAGUUUAUCUGACACUGGGAUUAUAUGUUACUAGCUAAAUGCCUUACGUUGUGUGUUAUCUUUGUUAUUUUGUGAUUAGCACUUAAAAAUGUCCAUAAUAUUUUAUCAGCACAUAAGAAAAAAAGUUCUGUUACUGAGAGUUUAUAAUAUAAAAGAGAAAGAAAUCUCCUGGUAAAUCUCCAAGUUAUCCUACCAGUCUGUCUAACAUUUUAGAACCACUUCUUGCGUUAGCAUUUGUUUUUAUUAGCUUUAGUCAUUUUGCUUUUGAUGUUGUUUAUAAUUACUGCCAAAUGCAAAAAUAGUCUUUCCAGAAAUUUACCAUGAACACCCAGCACUGAAAUACCAGUCUUAAAGAUUUGAUAAACCAGUAAAGAAACAGAAUCUUAUUGGGGAAAAGGGCUGGGUAGCCUUAAAUAGAAGAGAUUCUGCAAUUCUAGUGACUAUUCAUCAAAAUCUAGUGAUGCAAACAGGAAAAAAACCAAACCUGUAAUGUAGCUAAAAAUGCCUGUUAAAUUAUUUUAAAAGUCCAUUCGUUGCAAUGUUCAAUCCCAUACCAUCUGAAUAUUAUGGCAGCUAUUCUAAAAUUCUUAUAAAACACUUGAAAGGGUUUUUUACUCCAUUUUGAGGUUUCAUAGCAUCACAGGUUUUCAGGCCAGAAGAAAGCACCAUGAGUCUCCAGCCUGACCUUUUGCAGGGUACAGGUGGCAAUUAGAUCAAGUGAUAUAUACAGCAUUUCUGGUGGAGAUAGAACACUUCCUUUGGAAAAACAAUCCACCUUCUUGAUUUAAAGAUUUCAAGUGGCAAGAAAUACUUCCCAGGCCUAUCGAUUUAUUUUUUUUCCAUGGCUUAGUUAGUCCAAGGGGUUCUCUCUAUGUUUUGGUUUUGUUUUGUAAUCAAAAAAUGGCUCAGCUUUCAAACACUACAUCUUUUAAAAGAUUAGUCUUCUCAACUGAAGAUUUCUAUGAUUAUUCUCUUUAUUUAUGUAAUUCAAGAUGAGUUAGUGCUUAUGUAAUUCAUUGAUGGGCUCGAGAUUAAGGUUUUGAAGCGCCUGUAAGAAGGGUUUCUAGAUCACAAAGCAACCAUAGACUGGUUAACCAGGUUCUCAGUUUUUGUCUCGGUAUCAGGACAUGCUGCUCCACCAGCCAACCCCUACUGCUACAGUGCUCUCCACGUGGAUCCACACGGAUGGCAUUGCUGUGUGUUCUUACUUGCUUUUCUGUAGUGCUGCUUUUCAUAGUGCAGCCCUCCAUCAAAUAGCUAAACUAUGGUUUUCUUUCCUAGCAAUAUUAGCCUGCACUUAGCUAUACUAAAAUACACAUUGUUCAAGGUAGCUCACCUUUCCAAAGAUGUACUAGUACUGUGGACUAAUUCCUUAUCACUGAAAUGUGUUAAAAUAUUUAAGCAAUAUAUUUUGCUUAUUCUUGAUAACAUAUAUGUUGAUACCACGAAGUUAAGAGUGAUCUGCAAGGGGAACAACAGUUUCACUUGACACCUUUUACUUUGUAACAAAAUAGUUAUACUUUUUUAGUACCUUUAGUAGCACAGGCAAAUUGUGUUGCAUUAAUUUUGAUCAAGGAGAAAAUUCUUAUAUAUUUGGGGGCAACCUGCAUGCAGAAAAAGAAACAAAAUUAUUUGCUAUACCAAGUUCUAUUUAUUUCAGCAAAAUUAUUCCACUACUGUACAAAUAUGUCCUAAUGUAACGUAACAGAAAUUUAAUAAAUAAAAUGAAAACACAAAGUAGCAUAUUCUGAAAAAUAUCUGGCUAGAAAUGAGUCAUAUUCUAAUCUUGGAUAAACUCCCUCUUUCUCCCUACGUGAAGGAAUGUUUUACUAAGGCUGCUCAAGCUAUUUUUUAUCACCAUCAGCAGAGAGAUACAAGCACCACUUCCUACAAAGAGAACCACACCCCUCAAGAAACACAAAGUUUUUCUGCAUACCCAAAUAAUUGAUGAAAUGUUGCCAUUGUCCCUUUUACAGGACAGUUCUUUGGAAAAGGACAGUGAUCUCAGAAGCAGCACAAGGAAUUCAGCAAAAUACCAGGCUGGAAACAGUAGAUGCUUCUUCAGUACUUUGCCAUGGGUAGCUAUUGGAUAAACUUCUGAGAAAGUGUAAUGUAUCAAAUUACAAUUUUGUUGUUCAUAGAAUUUCUAUUUGGGGAAGUAUUCCUGUUUUCUGCAUUAGGCACUUGAAACUCCAGCAACCUCCAUUACAUUUUUUUCCCCAGCUAAUAUACAAUUAAUGCAUUAUCUAGUAGUUAUAAUCUACUAACUAACCAGAAGUGCUGACAGACUUAUAGUAAAUCAAACACCCAGUAUUAACAAGGCUGAUCUGGUUAUCAGUUUAAGAUAAUGGCCAGCUGUGCCAUCUUGCUAAAUCCUGUGGGAAGAAGUUAUUGUAAUGUCGGUUAUAACUACAUGGUUACUACUGUGUUGACAUCCGUACAUAAAGCAACUGUGAAAUAAUUUUUUAAACUCUAACGAGUUUAAAACUCAACAGUCAUAUGUAGCAGACUAGGGAAUUUCCAUAAUUUUUAAAUAAUACAUUUGCAAGGUUUUUUUGCAAGAAUACCGUGUAAAAUGCCUUCUUUUUUGAAAUGCUCUCCUUUGCUUCAUUUUUCCUGAGAUUAUUUAAGUCUUACUCUGUCGGGCUUCCAAAAGCUUAGCUUCUUUUUCUUUCUCACAUGCACAUAGACACACGUUCUGAGAUGUUUGACACAGACAUUUGAAUGCAUCACUGAUUACUGCUCUUUGCAUGGUACAGCAAGAGGGUACACCAGGCUGAACUGCUGCACCUUCAAGAAGGGCAGGAUGAGAGACCCAGAGAACUGCAGGUCUGCCAGCCUCACCCCUUUCCCCAGGAUGACUCUGGAGCAAAUACUCCUGGAAGAUAUUUCCUAGCACCUGAGAUACACAAAGGUGAUUGAGAACAGACGGUGUAAUGUGGCUUUACCAAGGGCAAACCUUUGAUGGGAAGACUGGCUCAACAGAGGAGGAAGAGCAGUGCUUGCUAUUUACCUUGACUUUAGGGAGGCCUUCAACAUGGACUCCUACAGUGCCCUUACAGUCAAUUUGGAGAAAUAUGCAGUGGAAAAAUGUACAAGGUAGAUGGAUGGGCUGUGCAGUAAAAUGGGUGUUGAUCAGCAGUUCUGAGUUCACACAAAAAGGUGGCUGGUUACUACUGGUGUUCCUCAGGGACCCAUACAGAGGCCAAAACUCUUACUGCCCUUAUUAAUGGCCUAGACAAGGUAACAGAGUGCACUCUCAGCACAUUUAGGAAUGAUACCUUUGGGGGACAUGGAUGUCAAUAAUCUGGAAGAUAAAACUGCCAUUCAGAGGGGCCUUUGUUGUUUUUUUAACAUUGUUUUGUUUCUUAAGCCUAGGACUUUUUACACAAAAGCAUGAAGAUUGUAAAGAAAUUCUCUAAAGCAAAAGCAUUACAGAAUGAAAACUAAGAGAAUUUCAUUUGGUCCUUAUUCAGCCAUAGCAAAAUUAACUUUUUUGGACACUCAGUCCGCAUUUCUCAUUUGCUGGGUUGUGAACUUGAGACGUGGAAUCUGGUAUCUAGAAUGAUCCUGAGCAUGGUGACAUUAAUUGUGAACCUAAUUGAAUAUAGUUGUGGUUUAAAUGCAUAGUGCUAAAUAUUCACCAAAUAACCUCUGGGUAUCUUACACUGGGCAUUCUAAAUUCAUAGAUAUGUUUAAUAAAUUUUGUUUUGACAAAA